GACGAACGCUGGCGGCGUGCUUAACACAUGCAAGUCGAACGGUAAGGCCCUUCAGGGUACACGAGUGGCGAACGGGUGAGUAACACGUGGGUGAUCUGCCCUGCACUUCGGGAUAAGCCUGGGAAACUGGGUCUAAUACCGGAUAGGACCACUGCCUGCAUGGGUGGUGGUGGAAAGCUUUUGCGGUGUGGGAUGGGCCCGCGGCCUAUCAGCUUGUUGGUGGGGUGAUGGCCUACCAAGGCGACGACGGGUAGCGGGCCUGAGAGGGUGACCCGCCACACUGGGACUGGGAUACGGCCCAGACGCCUACGGGAGGCAGCAGUGGGGAAUAUUGCACAAUGGGCGCAAGCCUGAUGCAGCGACGCCGCGUGAGGGAUGACGGCCUUCGGGUUGUAAACCUCUUUCAGCACCGACGAAGCGCAAGUGACGGUAGGUGCAGAAGAAGGACCGGCCAACUACGUGCCAGCCGCCGCCGUAA
rnacentral:rRNA from 1 species